rfam:Camelus ferus unplaced genomic scaffold scaffold1338, whole genome shotgun sequence.
GUGGGUAUAGCUCAGUGGUAGUGUGUAUGCUUAGCAUGCAUGAUGUCCUGGAUUCAAUCCUCAGUACCUCCA